CCCUACGGGGCGCAGCAGGCUUGAGCAAUAUACCGCAGUUCGUCAACUGGCCCUGGAUGUUCUUCUUCACGGCAGGGACUGUCAUGCUGAUCGCAAAUUUUCUCAAAUCAAGACAAGGCCGUGCCUGCAUAUCCAUCCGCGAAGAUGAGAUCGCCGCGGAGACCAUGGGGGUACCCACGACGCGCUUUAAGGUUACGGCCUUUAUCAUCGGUUCCUGCUUCGCAGGCAUGGCAGGUGCGUUAUACGCAUCAUACUUCUACGUUAUCAAACCCGAGUUUUUCGGAUUCAUGAAAUCGAUCGAUAUUCUCAUUAGUGUGGUGUUCGGCGGCCUUGGGGGC
rnacentral:rRNA from 1 species